rnacentral:tRNA from 1 species
GGCCGCCUGGCGAAAUGGCAUCGCGUCUGACUACGAUGCUUCUGCAUGAAAGCUGUAAUCAGGAGAUUGCAGGUUCGACCCCUGCGGUGGUCA